rnacentral:rRNA from 1 species
AUACGGAGGGGGUUAGCGUUGUUCGGAAUUACUGGGCGUAAAGCGCACGUAGGCGGACUGGAAAGUUGGGGGUGAAAUCCCGGGGCUCAACCCCGGAACUGCCUCCAAAACUUCCAAUCUAGAGAUCGAGAGAGGUGAGUGGAAUUCCAAGUGUAGAGGUGAAAUUCGUAGAUAUUUGGAGGAACACCAGUGGCGAAGGCGGCUCACUGGCUCGAUACUGACGCUGAGGUGCGAAAGCGUGGGUAGCAAACGGGAUUAGAAACCCCGUAGUCC